rnacentral:rRNA from 1 species
AUUGAACGCUGGCGGCAGGCCUAACACAUGCAAGUCGAACGAGUGGCGCGCGGGUGAGUAAUGUCUGGGAAAGUGCCCGAUGGAGGGGGAUAAACACUGGAAACGGUAGAUAAUACCGCAUACCAUCGGAUGUGCCCAGAUGGGUUAAGCGAGUGGGUGGGGUAAGGGCUCACCUAGGCGACUACCCCUAGCGGGUCUGAGGGGAUGACCGGCCAAACUGGAACUGGGCCACGGUCCAGACUCCAACGGGAGGCAGCGGUGGGGAAUAUUGCACAAUGGUGGCAAGCCGAAUGCGGCCAUGCCGGGUGUAUGAAGAAGGCCUACGGGUUGUAAAGUCCUUUCGGCGGGGAGGGUUUACUCGCAGAAGAAGCCCGGGCAAACUCCGUGCCAGCAGCCGCGGUAAUUC